AGAGUUUGAUUCUGGCUCAGGACGAACGCUGGCGGCGUGCUUAACACAUGCAAGUCGAACGAUGAAGCCUAGCUUGCUAGGUGGAUUAGUGGCGAACGGGUGAGUAAUACGUGAGUAACCUACCUUUAACUCUGGGAUAAGCCUGGGAAACUGGGUCUAAUACCGGAUACGACCAAUCUCCGCAUGGGGUGUUGGUGGAAAGCGUUAUGUAGUGGUUAUAGAUGGGCUCACGGCCUAUCAGCUUGUUGGUGAGGUAACGGCUCACCAAGGCGACGACGGGUAGCCGGCCUGAGAGGGUGACCGGCCACACUGGGACUGAGACACGGCCCAGACUCCUACGGGAGGCAGCAGUGGGGAAUAUUGCACAAUGGGCGCAAGCCUGAUGCAGCGACGCCGCGUGAGGGAUGACGGCCUUCGGGUUGUAAACCUCUGUUAGCAGGGAAGAAGAGAGAUUGACGGUACCUGCAGAGAAAGCGCCGGCUAACUACGUGCCAGCAGCCGCGGUAAUACGUAGGGCGCGAGCGUUGUCCGGAAUUAUUGGGCGUAAAGAGCUUGUAGGCGGUUUGUCGCGUCUGCUGUGAAAGGCCGGGGCUUAACUCCGUGUAUUGCAGUGGGUACGGGCAGACUAGAGUGCAGUAGGGGAGACUGGAAUUCCUGGUGUAGCGGUGGAAUGCGCAGAUAUCAGGAGGAACACCGAUGGCGAAGGCAGGUCUCUGGGCUGUAACUGACGCUGAGAAGCGAAAGCAUGGGGAGCGAACAGGAUUAGAUACCCUGGUAGUCCAUGCCGUAAA
rnacentral:rRNA from 1 species